UGGCGGCAGUAGCGCGGUGGUCCCACCUGACCCCAUGCCGAACUCAGAAGUGAAACGCCGUAGCGCCGAUGGUAGUGUGGGGUCUCCCCAUGCGAGAGUAG
rnacentral:rRNA from 1 species